rnacentral:ribozyme from 1 species
AGAAAGAAGAAACGUUCACUUUUGUUGGCUAGGUAGAUAGUAUUUUUGCAAUUAUUAUUAUUUUUUUCAACUUUUUUGCUUCUUUUUUUCUUCGAUUCUUCUCUUUUUCCUUUCAACCUAACCUCUAAAUAAUUUUCAAAACAGAGGAGC